UCCAGCUUAUAACUGGCAGUUUCCUUAUAGUUCCCGGCAUUACCCGUUGGCAAAUAAGGAUAGGGGUUGCGCUCGUUGCAGGACUUAACCUAACAUCUCACAACACGAGCUGACGACAGCCAUGCAACACCUGUAUGUGGUCCGGCCGAACCGACGGAUUCAUCUCUGAAUCCUAUGACCACUAUGUCAAGAGUUGGUAAGGUGUUUCGCGUAACAUCGAAUUAAACCGCAUGUUCCACCACUUGUGCAGGUCCCCGUCAAUUCCUUUGAGUUUUAAUCUUGCGAUCUUACUCCCCAGGCGGAGUGUUUAACGCGUUAGCUACGGCACUGAAGCUUAAAGCUCCAACACCUAACACUCAUCGUUUAGGGCGUGGACUAC
rnacentral:misc_RNA from 1 species